rnacentral:rRNA from 1 species
GACCAAGAAGUCUAACAUGUGUGCGAGUCAUUGGGUAUAUUGUUGAAACCUAAGGGCGCAAUUAAAAUAACUAUUUUAUGGGAUUACAAGUGAAUUAAUUUUCAUUUCUUCAUCCCGGGGCGUUCUAUACGAACAUGGUGCAAGCAAUUGUACCCUCUGUUCAAGAGCGUACCUUGAGCAUACAUGCUGUGACCCGAAAGAUGGUGAACUAUACCUGAUCAGAUCGAAGCCAGGAGAAAUUCUGGUGGAGGAUCGAAACAGUUCUGACGUGCAAAUCGAUUGUCAGAAUUGGGUAUAGGGGCGAAAGACCAAUCGAACCAUCUAGUAGCUGGUUCCCUCCGAAGUUUCCCUCAGGAUAGCUGGCGCAAAGAAUUAUAUUGUAUAUAAUCUUAUCUGGUAAAGCGAAUGAUUAGAGGCCUUGGGGCCGAAACGACCUCAACCUAUUCUCAAACUUUAAAUGGGUAAGAACCUCAUCUUUCUUGAUCUGAAGAUAUUGGGGUUUAGAUAUAUUGUGCCCAGUGGGCCACUUUUGGUAAGCAGAACUGGCGCUGUGGGAUGAACCAAACAUGAUGUUACGGCGCCUAAAUUAAUGACUCAUAUUGAUACCAUGAAAGGCGUUGGUUGCUUAAAACAGCAGGACGGUGGACAUGGAAGUCGUAAUCCGCUAAGGAGUGUGUAACAACUCACCUGCCGAAGCAACUAGCCCUUAAAAUGGAUGGCGCUCAAGUCAUAUGCCUAUACAUCAUCGCUAGAAUAAAUAUUGUUGAUCAUUCGGUCAUCAUUGUGAAAUUCUAGUGAGUAGGAGGGUACAAUGGUGUGCGCAGAAGUGUUUGGCGUGAGCCUGCAUGAAGCCGCCAUUGGCACAGAUCUUGGUGGUAGUAGCAAAUAAUCGAAUGAGAUCUUGGAGGACUGAAGUGGAGAAGGGUUUCGUGUGAACAGUGGUUGAUCACGAGUUAGUCGGUCCUAAGCUUUAUGCGAAAGCUGUUUAAUUUAUGUUACACACAAAAUUUUUGUUGUACAUAAUUCAAUAAAAGCGAAAGGGAAUACGGUUCCAAUUCCGUAACCUGUUGAGUAUACGUUUGUUUAUUAAAAAUGGGUCUUAUUACACUCAUCCUGGCAACAGGAACGACCAUAGAGAAGCCUUCGAGAGAUACUGGAAGAGUUUUCUUUUCUGCUAAACAAACGUAUCACCAUGGAAGUCUUUUAUAGAGAGAUAUGGUGGAUGGUUUGGAAGAGCAUGACAUUUACUGUUGUGUCAGUAUUUUCUCCUUGGACCUUGAAAAUCUAUGGUGGGGCCACGCAAACUUCUCAACAGACCGUACCGAUAUCCGCAG